CCCUCACUAUUUUCUCUUCCAUGUGCAAGAAAGAUUUGGCAAGUGUAUUUGAGGCUGACUUGAACAGGAAUCUGCAGUGUCUUUAGAGUCCAACAGUGACCUGCUGGACCACCAGAAACCAUCAAAUCAUGCCUGCAGGAUAUUUAAAAGCUCACUGCAGCCUGAGAGACAAAACCAGAAUCACAAUGUGGAUCCUGGGGACAGAAAUUACUGGAAAAAGUCCUGAAAUAAUGCUUUUUUUCCAGUGCAUUGUAAAGCUCUGUGGAGUAAUAAAGCAUUUGAAAGUUGUUCCACAUUAG